rnacentral:lncRNA from 1 species
CUGUUCCUGAGCAUUUCACAAAGAAUAAAUAUAAGUUGUAAGAAUAUAAAAUAAAUGUGUGAAUACACAAACACAAAAAUAUAUCUGCAAUAUGCACAAUUAUUUCUAAUAUAAAUAUCUAUAUUGUACAUGUAUUGUGUAGAUGAAACAGCAAAAUAUCACAAGGUUAUACAAGAUACAGAAUUCUGAACAAGAACCAUAUUUAAUUUAACAUAUAUUCUAUCUGUGAACAACUGCAGUAUAACUACUAAACAAACCUGGCAAAAUCUAUUAUGAUUGAGAUACAGUCUAAAUAGAAAAAGAUAUUUUUUGGUUUCAUUUUAUUUAAUUAUUUGUACAGUUGUAAAUCAACAGUUUAUGUAAAUCUCUUUGGUCUUCAGAGGUGUUUGUUCUUUAAUCUUAUACAGUUUAUACUAUUAUUUCAGGAGUUAUUUCACUUAGUGAAUUCUAUCUCUUUUAUAUAUCGUUUAUUUAUAUAUUAUAUAAUAAUCUCAUUUUUUAUAUAUUUUUGACAAUCACUAUAAUAAAUACAAUCUAUAAUUUAUGAAUGUAUGGUAUUUGGUUUUCAAAAAUAAUACCUGAAUUUUGCAGAAGUUAACAAAUAAUAACUCUGAUCGUCACCGUUAAUUUUGAAGAAUGAAGAAAUUAAAUCAAAAAGGAAUAAUCUAAAUAAAUUGUUAUCUAUUCCUAUUUAUAAUCUUGAACUAGUAUGUGAUGAAAACACAAAAUUCCCAUCAUGUAAAAUGGACAAAAUAUCUUGACUUUUAAAAUAUAUGUGCUGCAGUCCUGAUAAAAAAAUAUACUUGUCCUACUUGAUACCAUUUUCAUGAAAAAUAAUAAAACUUACAUAAUUUUAUUCAUUUCAUUUACUCCUCUAUUGCUUGAUAGUUCUUUCAUCUGGAAUUCAAUCGCAUUUUAAAGACUAUAUUAUCAUUAUCAUGAACUGAUUAAAAGCCAAAUGUUCAAGAUUAAAUUAGUUGUUGGUAUGUCAAAAAGGUUGUUAACUUCUACAUCAACUAAGUUCUGGUGGAGAGUAGUCGGAUUAAAAUUGGCAACCAUACCAUACCUUCUCGUUUUAUAUAAGAUAUGUUUAAACAGUCAUGGAAAUGUUGCCAGUAAAGAAAAUGCUGUUUUGAGCAUAAUUAAAGGUUAAAUCAUAUAAAUAAACAGUAAAAUGAAAGAAAAUAUCAGUAAAUUGAACCUCAAACGUAAACAAGAAAAAAAAAUUAUGUAAACUAUUUGCAUAUGUGGUUUUUUUCUUCUUCAAAACAACUAUGGAGACAUAAUAGAAAAUAAAUUAAUCACUUGUAGUGUAAUUACGAAUUUGAAAUUAUCAUUUAUUCCUAAUUAAAAACACCUAAACAACUAAGAGAGUUCUUAAUUUUGACAAGGGAGAUAACACGUAACAUUUUUUAAUUUCGAGGAGACUUUCUUUCAUUAUUUGUAUUAGUAAGGAAAUAAACAGAUAUAUUAAUUUUGGUUUCUAUUUCCAGAAGUUCACAUGUCUCCUCAAAAAAAAUUGCUGUGAUAUAAUAACAUAAGCAUUGUGGAAUAAUAAAUUUACAGGAAAGUGCAUUAAUUUCAAAAGUUUUCUAUUUAUCAAAAAAUAAUAUUGUAUAAGAACAUAAUUCCAAAACAUCUGAUGAAUAAGUAUAGUGACUAUUUUCUUACAUUUUAUAAAAAAAAAUCUUUCCAAUGAAUAUAAUAUUGUAUGUCUCCCAUAAAAAUAAUAACUUCACAAUAAAAUGCCCACAGAUAUAACAACCAUAUAAUUGAGGUAAUAUGUAAAUUAAUACCUGCUUAUGUUUACUUCAUUCCAAUGAUAUACCAUUAAGUUCAAUAAUUUCACUCAUCUUUUAAAGGUUAUAAAUUUCAAUGGUAUUAUUUUCAUCUAGCAUCAUAUUCAAAUAAAAGUGAAGUUGGGUAUAUGUCAAUGAGACAGCAACCAAGCAACACAUAACAAUACAUCUAGUGUUCAAAAUACUGUCUGAUACAUUUUUUGUAGUUUAAUAAACAAACUUGUGACAUUGCCUGAAAUAUAUAAACAUAUUACAAAAUAAUCCCCCUAAAAAGCUGGGAAUGUUUU